UUAAGAGGCUGUGCAACAAAGCACGAGGAGGAAAGCGGGAACGAGGGUGCUAAGGAGGAGGGGGCCCAGAGCCAGAGGACGGUCCGGCAUCCCUAGAUGCAUGCAGCCAGGAGCUGUUCUCAAGCCAGGCGGAAGGUAGCUGGUCGCAGCUGACAGUAUUUGUAAAAGAACAAACAGCAGAUGAGGUGCUUGAUGGAACCCUGAGAUCUCAACUGUCCUUGUUAUCAAUGGCUGAAAGUCUGCAAAGACUCAAGAAGCAGCCACGAAAAAGCAAGGAGAACCUUCUGCAUGAAGUCAUGCAGCAGUCUCUUAGUGAAAAUAAAAAAGCCCAGGAGUGAUGGGAGACUGAAAGGAGGGUCCACCAGGAGAAUGUGGAUCAUCUGCAACAAACCGUGGAGUGGCUCCUAAGCAUUAUGGAGCGCCAGUCGGGCUCACUGCAGGCACACAUAGCACUGCAUACGGAGCAGAUCCAUGUCCCUCCUACUUCCCUGCUGCAGCCCUUGUCUCAAAACUCUUGUUCCCCCAGGUCACUGCCAACCCACUUUUCCCAGCAUCUGGUUUCUUAUUGCCACCAGCUCCUCCAAAACCUUUAGCUUCACCGCCCAGCCCUGCAAACUACAACCCUUACCCACUGCAGUCGGCCCCCAUCACCAUGCAUUUUAGCCAGCCUGAAGUACAGAACUCAUUGCACGGCGCUCCAGACAGGAAGGCAGAAUGUGAUAACAGGACAUACAGAAAUCUGUGAUUGUUCCGUUCCCCACCCCGCCCUCUUCACUCCUCCCACACAGCACAGAUGUGUCAUGCCAUGUGUGUUUCUCCAGCAGUUGUUUCUUUCCAAUAAAUGAAUUUUUUGGGUUUGGAAACAU